GAGCAAUGUAUUUCUGAGUCAGUAUCUUUUAAUCUACCCUUAUGUCAGAUUAUGCGGCAAAGCUGAAAACUAUAAAAAUUAUCAUUGAGCAAGUGCAAUGGAUUGAAUGUUUAUGUGCCCUUAAAAUUUAAAUGUUAAAAUCUUAACAGCCCUGGUGAUGGUAUUAGGAGGUGGGUCCUUUGGGGGUGAUUAGACUAUGAGGGCAGAGCCCUUAUGAAUGUGAUUAGUGCCCUUAUAAAAGAGACUCCAGGGAGAUUCUUCACCCCUUCUGCCAUGAGAGGACACAGCAAAAAGGCGACUAUGAAUUCAGAAUAGGCCCUCAUCAGACACAGAAUCUGUUGGCACCUUGAUCUUGGACUUCCCCCUCUCUGGAAAGUCCAGAAACAUUUCUUUAAAAGCUGGAGAAUCUGUAAAUGUGAGCACGUGGAGUACGUCACCAACCACUUCAUCUUUGUGGUGCUGUAACGUUGUGAAAGCUGCCAUGUGAAAGCCAAGAAUUUGCUCCAGCAACUGUUCUUCUAUAUACUUUUCUGCCAAAGAAAUAUAUUCGUUAAAAAUAGGUUAUCACUCAUUCAUGUGUGGACUCUUUAUUGAGGGGGUUUCAUGUGCUUCGCCCUGGGCUGUGAGAUAGCCUGCAGCCUUGUCUUCAGGAGCUCAGAGUACCCUGCGGGACGGGAGACAGAUGAAUCACCCCAGGGGUUGCAUGCAGCCAUCUCUAGAACAUCAAAUGGUCUCUCUUCAACUGGAAUGAUAAGAGCUGAAAGAAAUGUGCAACCAUGAGGACACCGUAACCUAUGAAUGAUGUGCUGAGACUGGAAACCCAAAAUGAUGGUAACUGAGAGUGACACUAAAGCCCUAAGUUUUGGUCACACACACACCUAAGUGAGAACCUGACCAAGAAGGGGGAAUUUUUAAAACAAAAUUCUGGGAGGCCAUUGUUUUCGACUAAGCUCAUGCACUCAUGCCCUGGGCCCCAACAGACCAAACCAAAUCCAGAUGGAGUUGUUUGUGCUCAGACUUUACAGAAAUGCAUGGAUUCUACAGCAGACAAGCUUUUGUUUUUUUUCUUCUGCAAAUCUCUAUGGCAAACAUUUCUGACAACAUAGGUAUCCACCCCCUGAAGUUCCCAUUAAAUCUUUUAACCAAAUUCAUUUCCUCUCGCCUGGAGACCGUCAAGCUUCAGAUGAUGAUGCAACAAAGGUUCCAGCCAGUUCCAGGUGAAGACACCACCCUUGGACAUCAAGAUGCUACCCUGUCUCCACUAGAUAGAGCAGGGAAAGUUCUGUGAUUCCCCAAUAGGUAGGGACUAUGCCCCAAGCCAGCAUGAAGCAGUUACUGAAAAAGAUCAUCGGUCCCUCUGCCUCCCAUAAAGAUUUAUGGGAUCACAUCUCUCAGGGAGAUGAGGCAGGAAAAUAGGGUCUGGAGGCAGGAAACUUAAGGACAAUUCACACUUCAGCUAUGACAGGAAAUAUCUUCUCCAUAGGGCACAGGCCAAGUAAAUGACUUUGCAACUUUACUUCAUCCUCUUCAUUUAUAUACUGUGCACCCCAAUCCUCUGUAGGAUAUUGAAACCCCAAAAUUCUAAAUAAUGGGGCCUUUGAGCCCCCAUGCUCAGACCCACUCCCACAUGGUGGAGUGUACUUUCCUUUACAAUAAAACCCUUCAUUUCUUCCU
rnacentral:lncRNA from 1 species